rnacentral:rRNA from 1 species
UAAUACGUAAGUGGCAAGCGUUGUCCGGAAUUAUUGGGCGUAAAGCGCGCGCAGGCGGNCCUUUAAGUCUGAUGUGAAAGCCCACGGCUCAACCGUGGAGGGUCAUUGGAAACUGGGGGACUUGAGUGCAGGAGAGAAAAGUGGAAUUCCACGUGUAGCGGUGAAAUGCGUAGAGAUGUGGAGGAACACCAGUGGCGAAGGCGACUUUUUGGCCUGUAACUGACGCUGAGGCGCGAAAGCGUGGGGAGCAAACAGGAUUAGAUACCCUGGUAGUCCACGCCGUAAACGAUGAGUGCUAAGUGUUAGAGGGUUUCCGCCCUUUAGUGCUGAAGUAAACGCAUUAAGCACUCCGCCUGGGGAGUACGGCCGCAAGGCUGAAACUCAAAGGAAUUGACGGGGACCGCACAAGCGGCGGANCAUGUGGUUUAAUUCGAACAACGCGAAGAACCUUACCAGGUCUUGACAUCCUCUGACAAUCCUAGAGAUAGGACGUUCCCCUUCNNGGGGANAGAGUGACAGGUGGUGCAUGUUGUCGUCAGCUUGUGUCGUGAGAUGUUGGGUUAAGUCCCGCAACGAGCGCAACCCUUUGUCUUUAGUUGCCAGCAUUUAGNUGGGCAUUCUAAGGAGACUGCCGGUGACAAACCGGAGGAAGGUGGGGAUGACGUCAAAUCAUCAUGCCCCUUAUGACUUGGGCUACACACGUGCUACAAUGGAUGGUACAAAGGGUUGCGAAGCCGCGAGGUGAAGCUAAUCCCAUAAAACCAUUCUCAGUUCGGAUUGUAGGCUGCAACUCGCCUGCAUGAAGCCGGAAUCGCUAGUAAUCGUGGAUCAGCAUGCCACGGUGAAUACGUUCCCGGGUCUUGUACACACCGCCCGUCACACCACGAGAGUUUGUAACACCCGAAGUCGGUGGGGUAACCGUAAGGAGCCAGCCGCCUAAGGUGGGACAGAUGAUUGGGGUG